GUGUGUGUGUGUGUGUGUGUGUGUGUAUGUAUGUAUGUGUGUGUGUAUAUAUAUAUAUAUACAUACAUACACACACACACACACACACACAC